GCAACCUGUUGGGGUCCUGUUCUGUGCUGUGGAAUGUUUGUUCUUUUGGUUUUUGCAGUGAAUCUUGCUGCUGCUCACUCUUCGGGUCUGCACUACCUUUAUGAGCUGCAAUACUCACUGUGAAGGUCUGCAGCUUCACUCCUGAAGCCAGGGAGACCACAAGCCCACCGGGAGGAACAAACAACUCCGGACCUGCCACCUUUAACAGCUGUAACACUCACUGCCAAGGUCUGCGGCUUCACUCCUGAAGUCAGUGAGACCACGAACCCACCAGAAGGAAGAAACUCAGGAAACAGCUGAACAUCUGAAGGAACGAACUCCAGACACACCGUCUUUAAGAACUGUAACUCACGGGCACGGUGGCUCAUGCCUAUGAUCCCAGCACUUUGGGAGGCUGAGACGGGCGGAUCAUGAGAGGAACACUCACCGUGAGGGUCUGCAGCUUCUUUCUUGAAGACAGCGAGACCAAGAACCCACAGAAGGAACCAAUUCCGGACACAUUAUCUCUGGCUAUUUUUACAAAUAACACAGAGUUGAGUAUUAAUAGCUAUGUGAGAAGCCUUAUGGCCCACAAAGCUGAAAAUGUCUGCUGUCUGACUCUUCACACAAGGGAAGUUGCCAAGCCCUGGGUUAAGUACAUGGUCCAGCAUCAUAGCUUCAAAGUGACCUUGGGCUUCAAGCCCAGGUCUGCCCAAGUCCUUUGCCAACUCUCAUGAGUGCUAUGCUUUCGCAGUCUUCUGCAAUGGGGAGCAUCAGGAGUUCAUUCAUCUGUUUAUUCCACAGCACAUUUAGUAGGUGCACGUUUUAUGCCAGGUGCAGCUGAGCAUUGAGAUGAAAAGGAGUUUGUUCCUUCCCCUCAGGAAUUCACUGUCUAGGAAGUGAGGCAGAGUGUGUCCUUAACCAAUCCCUAAUUGAGAAUAAAUCCUGGCUUUUGCCUGAUUAAGGCUUUAACGGUUGAAGUUGGGAUAAAAAUAGUAGCCUGCAGCUGGGUGCAGUGGCUAAUUCCCGUAAUCCCAUCACUUUGGGAGGCUAAGACAGGAGGAUUGCUUGAGGCCAGGAAUUCAAGACCAGUCUGGGCAAUAUAGUGAGACCUUGUCUCUAUCAAAAAUUUAAAAAAUCAGCCGCAUGUGAUGGUGCACGCCUGUAGUCCCAACUAAUUAGGAGGCUGAGGCAGGAACAUUACUUGAGCCUGGGAGCUAGAGGCUACAGUGAGCUAUGAUCGUACUACUGCACUCCAGCCUGGGCAACGGUGAGACCAUGUCUCUAAAUAAAAACAGUAGCCUGAUGCCUGGCAUGUUUAAGCAAACACAGGACAAGAGAUAACCCUCUUGGUCCCCCUCAGCAACAGUGUGGGCUGAGAGCUCAAAGUGUGAACAAGACAGGGUGGCUGCAAGUUGUGGGCUAAUGGGAGGGGUUACUGGAGGUUGCCACGGUGAUGGUGCAGGCUAGCCCCAAAAGAGGCUUAGGCCAGCAGCAGGGAGGAGGCUGAGAUGAGAGAGGCCUGGAGUAGGGGUCGGGUGCAUAUGUUGAGCUCUGCAAUCAAGGUACCUGGAUUCAAAUCCCAACUCUACCACUUACAAGCUGUGUGAGCUGAGCAAGUUACUUAGUUUCUCAGCGCCUGGUUUUUCCCAAGUGUAAAAUGGAAAAAACAAUACCUACUUCAUAAGGUCUCUCUGUGGAUUAAAUUUGUUCACGCAGUGCUUAGACCAAGUCAGUGCCCCAUACUCAUUAGCUACUCCCUGGGUUCAGAGGAUCCCUUUGGCUGCUGGGUUGUAACUUGAGAAUUCCACUGAGGAAAACAAGGCAGGAAUCUGUGGCCUUGGGAAGUGCCCGUGCU
rnacentral:lncRNA from 1 species